rnacentral:misc_RNA from 1 species
GUAGGUGAACCUGCGGAAGGAUCAUUAACGUAUCUCAGGCGGCCGUCCGAGGGCCCUGCUCCGACCGCGAGGCCGUGCAGCGGGCUUUCGGCGACGCCCAACCUUCACAAACCCACCGUGCACCUUUGCGGGAGAGGCUCCCCGGGCGAGAGCCCGGUCGGCCGAACCCGCUCCAAACAAACGCUAAGUCGAUAGAAUGUGAUGCGGCCUUUGUGUCGCCUAAUGACAUGACAACUUUCAACAACGGAUCUCUUGGCUCUC